rnacentral:sRNA from 1 species
GUAUAAAUGCGGUGGCGCCCGGCGUAGGGACACUUCGGUCCUGAGCGCUUGGGAGUUAGGUUGUUUGCCGGCGUAGCGGCCAGCGCCUGAGCCCGCCCUUGCUCUUCGCUGUGGCAUGGCGGACGAGGGGAAGUCGUACAGCGAACACGAUGAUGAACGCGUUAAUUUCCCUCAAAGAAAGAAGAAAGGCCGGGGUCCCUUCCGGUGGAAAUAUGGUGAAGGAAACCGUAGGUCUGGAAGAGGCGGUUCUGGUAUUCGGUCUUCCCGCCUUGAGGAAGAUGAUGGAGAUGUGGCAAUGAGUGAUGCCCAGGAUGGUCCCCGAGUACGAUAGUGAGUGACCAGUUGGUCUGGUUUGAAUUUAGUGGCUUAUGAGAUUAUAUGGCCCUUUUACUGUCCAUGUCAUUUCCUUUCCCACCUGUUAGAGUGAGAAAUGCCAGGACUAGCUUAGUGAUUAAACAAUCUUAGUUGUAGUCCCACUAACAGUGCAGGAAGGCCUUUGAGAAGACUUUCCUAGCAUUUGUGGUCAUUUUAUUCUCUGCUUACCCACAGCAACCCCUAUACCACCCGACCUA